rnacentral:lncRNA from 1 species
AAAAAAACCCAAAAAACAAAAAACACAACACUCUUCUGGGUGCGGUGGGUGGCACAUGCCUGGAAACUGGGGCAGGCGGAUCACAAGCUCAAGGCCAGAUGCAGCAAUUUAGAAAGACCCUCAGCAGCUUAGAGAGACCCUGUCCCAACAUAAAACAUAGAAAGGACUGAGAAUGUGGCUCCGUGGUGUAGUACCCUCCCACCAUGAAGUAUCUUACAAGCCUUUAAGUCAUCAAUCCAGAAACCACUGAGGGGCGAUGGGGGAUUGAGAAAAGACAAACACAUAGGAGAAGAAAGUUGGGACGGGUGGGACAAUGUCCUCUGAUGGAGGAACCUAGAGCUGGCUCAGCACGUUUAUCAUAUAGGUCUUAUCAUCGAAUUACAUGGGUUGUUUUGGGAAAGUUUCAGCAGAGCUGACAGACUUGAAGGUCGCAGUGAAUCUUUCGAGGCACCAAGGUCAUCUUGUUAUGCUCAGAAUUCUCUAUUCCUGAAAGUCGGUGCUUGAGCUCAGGGUCCAGACCGAGAUAGCUCUGCGCCUUUGCUCGGAGCCUCCCCAGGCCAGGCAUCACCCUAGCAACUGGGCCAUCUUGACCUGCACCUUGGCACAGGAAAUUCCCAGCAUGCGGCAGCCCCAAGGUAGUCACGGGCUGUGAUCCGAGUCACCACUCUCCACAGAUGAAGUCGACACAGAUCAUGAUGCCCGUGACCCAUGGCGGUAGCAGGAGUCCUGCAGACGUGGGGCCUCAGCCAUUCAAGGCCCGCUUCUUAUCUCCCUGGCUCUGCAGUCAAAUGCCAGCUGGAGACUCGAGGGUGGACGGCGGGAUCAGUUCCUGGUCAUCUGGGGCCUGGGGGCCUGGUCCCUCUGGCCAAGGCUUUGCUCAGCUCCCUGCUCCCUGAGCCUCUCAGCUCACGAAGGCAGCAGACAUCGUCACGGGAGCCAGACGGCAGCACCGCUGCGAGACCCGAGUCUGGGCAGGAGGACUCGCGAUUCCCCGUUACUCCUGGCGUGUGGUCACAAGCUGCUGGGCACAGAGCACAGUAGGGAAACAGGCCGCUGAGGCCCAGAGGCCGCUUGCAAGGCUGCCCACCUGACGUCGUGUCUUAUGAUUCCAUUUGCGCAUUUCAGGAAAGGCGAAUCGGUGGUGACAGAGGGCAGGCCAACCGUCACUUAGGACGGAGGCUUGGGGAGGAGUCCGACUGCCCAGGACUGGAGCCCAGGGCUCACACAGGCUAGGUGAGUGCUCCACCCCCUGGGCCCAGUGCUCCACCUGAGCCACACCCCAGCCCAACUUUUCUUAAGUGAUAAAAUGUU